AAAUGUAUAAACAAAAAGACAAACAAACCCUAAACCCUAUAAUCCUAAGCAUUAUUUUAAACCAAACCUAAAUCCAACCUAAACCAAACGCUAAACCUUUCCUACUACCUAAACCCUAAAUCCUACCUAACCCUAAACCCUACCUAAACCUAGAACUUAACCCUAUCUAACCCUAAACCCUACAUAAACCUAACCCUAAUCCUUAAACCCUUCCUACUACCUAAACACUAAACCUAUCUAACCGUAAACCUACCUAACCCUAAACGUAAAC
rnacentral:lncRNA from 1 species